rnacentral:rRNA from 1 species
UACGGAGGGUGCAAGCGUUGUCCGGAUUUAUUGGGCGUAAAGAGCGUGUAGGCGGUCAGGUAGGUCCGUUGUGAAAACUCGAGGCUCAACCUCGAGACGCCGAUGGAAACCAUCUGACUAGAUUCCGGAAGAGGAGAGUGGAAUUCCUGGUGUAGCGGUGAAAUGCGCAGAUAUCAGGAAGAACACCCGUGGCUAAGGCGGCUCUCUAGUACGGUACUGACGCUGAGACGCGAAAGCGUGGGGAGCGAACAGG